GUGUCAGCAGCCGCGGUAAUACGGGGGGGGCAAGCGUUGUUCGGAAUUACUGGGCGUAAAGGGCUCGUAGGUGGCCAACUAAGUCAGACGUGAAAUCCCUCGGCUUAACCGGGGAACUGCGUCUGAUACUGGAUGGCUUGAGUUCGGGAGAGGGAUGCGGAAUUCCAGGUGUAGCGGUGAAAUGCGUAGAUAUCUGGAGGAACACCGGUGGCGAAGGCGGCAUCCUGGACCGACACUGACACUGAGGAGCGAAAGCCAGGGGAGCAAACGGGAUUAGAAACCCCAGUAGUCC
rnacentral:rRNA from 1 species